rnacentral:rRNA from 1 species
CCUACGGGUGGCAGCAGUGGGGAAUAUUGGGCAAUGGGCGCAAGCCUGACGCAGCAACGCCGCGUGUAGGAAGAAGGCUUUCGGGUUGUAAACUACUUUUGACAGGGAAGAGUAGAAGACGGUACCUGUCGAAUAAGCCACGGCUAACUACGUGCCAGCAGCCGCGGUAAUACGGAGGUUGCAAGCGUUGUCCGGAUUUACUGGGUGUAAAGGGCGUGUAGCCGGGUUGACAAGUCAGAUGUGAAAUCCUGCGGCUUAACCGCAGAAUUGCAUCUGACACUGUUGAUCUUGAGUAUUGGAGAGGCAGACGGAAUUCCUAGUGUAGCGGUGAAAUGCGUAGAGAUGAGGAGGAAUACCAGUGGCGAAGGCGGUCUGCUGGACAGCAACUGACGGUCAGGUGCGAAAGCGUGGGGAGCAAACAGGAUUAGAUACCCUAGUAGUC